UACGUAGGGGGCAAGCGUUGUCCGGAAUCAUUGGGCGUAAAGCGCGUGUAGGCGGUCCGGUAAGUCCGCUGUGAAAGUCGGGGGCUCAACCCUCGAAAGCCGGUGGAUACUGUCGGGCUAGAGUGCGGAAGAGGCGAGUGGAAUUCCUGGUGUAGCGGUGAAAUGCGCAGAUAUCAGGAGGAACACCAAGUGCGAAGGCAGCUCGCUGGGACGUUACUGACGCUGAGACGCGAAAGCUAGGGGAGCGAACAGG
rnacentral:rRNA from 1 species